rnacentral:sRNA from 1 species
UUUUAAUAACCUGCCCAUGGUUAUUACCUGUCAAGGCUUAUGAUUGUAAUUACUUUAAGAUUCAACAUCAGUAUUGAGAUUUAGUGAUUGUAUCAGUUAAGAUAAAUACCUUAUAGACAGGCUAACCCUAAUUCAAAAUAUCAAAACAGAAAUUCAAAUUUCCUAGUAAUGUCUGAUAAAAGAUUCAUCCUCAAUGAUGUUCAUUAGAAUGCACAAAUAUUUUAUUAGACUGGACAUGCACAACACUGCACACAAAAUCUCUAGAGCCAUUAGUUUAUGAAAGCUCUGGGAAUGGUCAAAACUUUGUCCCUCACAUUUGGUUCACUCAUUAAACAUGUAACAAUGUAUUGGUGUGUGUGUGAUUAGAAUUUCAAUUUGUAAAUAAAUAAAAAAACAAAAACUGAGCUCAUGUUUGUAACAAAUAGAUUGUAAUUAAAUCAAACCAUUUCUAACUUCUUCUGUGCUCUAAUGUUGUUGUUUUCUACAAGUGUUAUAUGCAGUUUAAUUUUAAAACAGAACAUUUGUUCUGGACACACAACACAGUAUAUAGCAGAAGUCAGAGGGUUGAUCACCUUAUGGGAGCAUACAACUGUUUUUAAUGGCACUUUACAGAGACACUAAUAUGUAGACAAAUUAGUGUUUUUAUUAAACAUAGCUAGUGGCUAUAAGGACAAAAAAAAUGAUUCACUUGGCAAUAAUGUUGUAACAAAUUCAUAUCAAUAAAUUUGAAAACUAUGAUAUGCAUGCAUUGAAAGUAAUAUCAUUCUUUCUUUUGUUCAAGAAAGCAAUCUUAUAUAUAGAACCAUAUAAUAUAAUCUUAAUAUAUAGAUCUAUAGAAUAUCUUCUUGUAAAUUUGUUACAAAUUGACUCACUGAAAGUCUUGUAGAGUCUAGUAGUAACAUUAACAGAGCUAUUCCUGAUGUAAUCAAUAAAUCAAUCACUUUAAGUAAGAUGCAGAUCUAGUUUUCUUGUUGAUAGAACAGUUUCUCACAUUUCUUGAGCUAAGUGAAGUGUUUGAUCCUUCCUAGUUACAGCUGUACUCUAAAAUAUAGUACUUCAGUUACAUAUGAUGGCAGAGACUCUUAGUUGCACGCUUUGUUCAAUAGGCCAAACACUUUAGCAAAAGUUAUGUCACACCAAUUUAGGACAUUUGUGAAGUUAUAUGUCAAACCAAUGUAUGACAUUUAUGAAGGUAUAUGUCAAACCAAUUUAAGAAGUUAUAAGUUGAACCAAUUUAGGACAUUUAUGAAGUUAAAAAGCAAAUCAAUCCAGGACAUUUAUGAAGUUUUAUGUCAACUAAGUCAAACAAAUUCAGGACAUUAUUAAAGUUGUAUGUCAAACCA